UACGUAGGGGGCGAGCGUUGUCCGGAUUCAUUGGGCGUAAAGAGCUCGUAGGCGGCUGUUCAAGUCGAUUGUGAAAACUCGGAGCUCAACUCCGAGCCUGCGUUCGAUACUGGACGGCUAGAGUCUGGUAGGGGGACCUGGAAUUCCUGGUGUAGCGGUGGAAUGCGUUGAUAUCAUCAGGAACACCGGAGGCGAAGGCGGCUCACUGGGGAUUUUCUGACGCUGAGGAACGAAAGCCAGGGGAGCGAACGGG
rnacentral:rRNA from 1 species